GACAGAGGGUGCAACCGUUGCUCGGAAUCACUGGGCGUAAAGGGCGUGUAGGCGGGAAGGCAAGUCAGAUGUGAAAUCCCUGGGCUCAACCCAGGAACUGCAUUUGAAACUCCCUUUCUUGAGUGUCGGAGAGGAAAGUGGAAUUCCUGGUGUAGAGGUGAAAUUCGUAGAUAUCAGGAGGAACACCGGUGGCGAAGGCGGCGUUCUGGACGACAACUGACGCUGAGACGCGAAAGCGUGGGGAGCAAACAGG
rnacentral:rRNA from 1 species